CCUACGGGUGGCAGCAGUGGGGAAUAUUGGACAAUGGGGGGAACCCUGAUCCAGCCAUGCCGCGUGUGUGAAGAAGGCCCUCGGGUUGUAAAGCACUUUCAGUGAGGAAGAACGCCUGGUGGUUAAUACCCAUCAGGAAAGACAUCACUCACAGAAGAAGCACCGGCUAACUCCGUGCCAGCAGCCGCGGUAAUACGGAGGGUGCGAGCGUUAAUCGGAAUUACUGGGCGUAAAGCGCGCGUAGGUGGCUUGAUAAGCCGGUUGUGAAAGCCCCGGGCUCAACCUGGUAACGGCAUCCGGAACUGUCAAGCUCGAGUGCAGGAGAGGAAGGUAGAAUUCCCGGUGUAGCGGUGAAAUGCGUAGAGAUCGGGAGGAAUACCAGUGGCGAAGGCGGCCUUCUGGACUGACACUGACACUGAGGUGCGAAAGCGUGGGUAGCAAACAGGAUUAGAUACCCUUGUAGUC
rnacentral:rRNA from 1 species